UUUACUCCUCAGGUAUUGAAUGGCGAGGCAUUUUUCAAUACUCGAUACUUUAGAGGCAAUUCUGUCGGUGUGUAAAAAUGAUUGAAUUGGGUACCCAGCCCUACGCACAUGUAUUUACAUUAUUCGAGAGGU